rnacentral:rRNA from 1 species
GACGAACGCUGGCGGCGUGCUUAACACAUGCAAGUCGAACGGAAAGGCCCUGCUUUUGUGGGGUGCUCGAGUGGCGAACGGGUGAGUAACACGUGAGUAACCUGCCCUUGACUUUGGGAUAACUUCAGGAAACUGGGGCUAAUACCGGAUAGGAGCUCCUGCUGCAUGGUGGGGGUUGGAAAGUUUCGGCGGUUGGGGAUGGACUCGCGGCUUAUCAGCCUGUUGGUGGGGUAGUGGCUUACCAAGGCUUUGACGGGUAGCCGGCCUGAGAGGGUGACCGGCCACAUUGGGACUGAGAUAUGGCCCAGACUCCUACGGGAGGCAGCAGUGGGGAAUAUUGCACAAUGGGCGGAAGCCUGAUGCAGCAACGCCGCGUGCGGGAUGACGGCCUUCGGGUUGUAAACCGCUUUCGCCUGUGACGAAGCGUGAGUGACGGUAAUGGGUAAAGAAGCACCGGCUAACUACGUG